CUCAGGCUGGUCUUGAACUCCUGCCCUCAAGUGGUCCUACUGCCUUGGCCUCCCAAAGUGCUGGGAUUAUAGGUGUGAGCCACCAUGCCCUGUCAUAUUUUUUUCCUUUUUUAUUGGACUGAGAAUAUGUAGAGCAAGAGCCCAGGAGUUUAAGGCCAGCCUGGGCAACAUAGCAAGAGUCUAAGAAAAAAAGAAAGAAAGAAAAAAAAAAAAACAAUUGUUGAGUUUUCAGGUCAAUGCUGGAGCAAAAUGACACAAAGAAGCCUACUCAGCUGGGGGUCUGCUGGCCACCCAUCCUAUCAGGGUCCCACUAGCACCACCCAGCUAGUGAUCAUCUUAAACAAGGACUCCACAAUUUUACAGUCUCCUCAUCCUCUUUUUUCCCAGGUUCUCAAAGCUCCAACUCCCAGAGUAGGAGACAGGAGCUGAAAUGAGCUGAUGUUUAC
rnacentral:lncRNA from 10 species